rnacentral:lncRNA from 1 species
UGCUGAACACUUUAUGUGCCAUCUUUUAUUCAGUCCUCAUGACUAUGUUUUGAAAAUAGUGUCAUCAUCCUUAUCUUUUUUUAUAAUGAUUUAUAUUUUUUACAUUAUAUGUACAUAUAGAAACUGAAGUUCAGAGUGUUAUUACACUUCCCAGACAGUAAGUGGCACAGUUUGAAUUUAGACACAGACAGGCUAUCACCAGAGGGCACACUCUUAACCACUGCUUUAUACUCCUAUGUCCUAAUGGUUUCCUUAUUUUAUUAUAGACAAAAGUUAAUAAGCUAAAAUCAAAAUGGGGUUAUAAGCUGUAUAAUCACAGUGGAUUGUUCAAAUUCACAGACUAUUCCCAGUUUUUCUUUCUAAAAGCAAGGUUAUUUGGCCUGAAUUAAGGCAGAUUUCAGUAGCUCUUUAACAACUUUGUGUUAUACCGAAAUUCUGUUUUAAAAUACCUGCAAGAAAAUUCAGCCAUGACCCAGCCAACAAUCAGGUUCUCAAAGCCUCUUGAUUGGUUUACAUCAUUCUGAAAGAAAUUUGGAGUUAAUUUUCCUGCCCCAUCCUCCAGCCCACCCUCCCAGACCAAUCUCACUAGCCGUUUGAGAUUUUGCUAAAAGCCCAACAGACUGUCUAUAAGGAGCAUUAUCAUAUGGUCUUAGUAACAUGAACUGAAUAAAAAUGGACACAUUACACAGCCGUGGCUCCUCAAACAGUGAUUGGAAAUAGAUCGAAAGAGCUAAGGCACUAACUCAACCAGCCAUUCCAUCAUCAGCUUGUCUCAGGGUAGUAAUAAAAUUCUUGGGCUGCUGAAUUUAUAGAGUAGAAGUGCAAGCACAGCCUCCCACUGGUACCCAUGGCUUUGAUCAGGUCAAUAACAGUGGUCUGGAGGUCUGCAUGCUGACCAUUGUAAGCACCAAUGUGAACUCUCACCCAUGUGUUGUCAUUAGCAAUUGCUUCCCUAUAAGUUCCUUAGCUAGAAAGAUAAAUCAGGCUGUCUAAGGAAGGGGUUUUACAUGAAAUUACAUGAGAGCAUGUCCUUUGUAGAAGUGUAAUAUUAAGGGUUUAGCACCCAAAUACUCUCUAUGUUUAUAUAAUCCACUAGCUUAGCCAGCAACUCUGGACCAUGAAAGAGUGAGUGUGGUGCAGCCAUGAGUCACCUUCUCUUCUGACUGAAGGUAUGGCUUCUACUUUUCUGAGGGCAAUGAUGUCUUGUGCUGCAAUGAAAAGAAAAAUCAUAUUGUGUGAUUUAUGCAAUUAAUAGGCCUAGAUGUCCUAGCUGCACCCUGUGUUUAUAAUGGAUAUAAUUGACUUUAUAGCAAAUUUGAAAGGCAAGUUGUUCUAGUCCUUGCAGGAUCAUGCUGGCUCCCCCACUGGACCUUCGCAGAUGUCACUUCCUCUGCCUUGACCACUGUUGCUCUUUUUGUGAUGUAGUUAACUCUUACUCUUCCUUCAGAUGGCUGUUCAGGAGCCCUGCCUCAGGGACACCCUCUCAGACUUUGCUGACUAAAUCACCAUCUCCUAUUUUUACCCUAUGUGAGUGAUCACUUCACUGUAAUAAAUAUAUUUGAUGACUCUUGGAUUGAUGUCUGUGUCUUCUUCUAAACUGGCACUUCCAUGAAAGUCAGGACCCUUAUGCUUUGACUCACUGUUGUACCCUCAAUACCAAGCAUAGUCUUCAUCUCACGGUAGAAAAGCAAGAGUCAUUGUAACCAAGGAUGUAAUGAGAAAAAUAAUUUUAGAAACAAAGAACGAUAUAAUAUCUUUUUAAAAAUAUCUAAAGAGGAUUAUUCACCUUAAAUUCUAUAAUCAUUCAUUUAUUCAUUCAUUUUUUCAACAAGUAUUUUUCAGUUCUACACUAUUUUUAAAGUUUCCCUAAGACCUGUAAUGGUAAAUAAAGCAGACAUAAAUGUAUUUUUAUAUAAAUAAUCUUCUAAAAACCUCUUUCUUUCUCAUUUUCUUUUUCUCUGAUAGAAGUAACACUACAUAUUUAUUCAAUAAAAAAUAAAAUGAUGUAAAUCUUUGUCCUCUAUUUAUAUAUCAGUAUUUGGUGGCAACCUUUAUGUCUGUUCCCUCUAAGAAUAUAGGAAAUUAAUUCAUGGAAAGGGAUGUUUUACAAUUGCUCAAAAAUCCAGAAACAAUUUCCUUUGGAAGGAACUUUUGGCUUUAUAAUUGAUUAUCAGGAUAUAUGACUACUACAUUUAUUUUCACAAAUACAUAAAAACAAGAAACCAAAAAUUUCCACCUUCUUUGUAGACAAAGAAUAAUGUGUUGUAGAUGGCUUUCUUUUUUUUAAUGUUAAAUAGAAAUUUCCUCUUUCAUGGGAUCAGAUCUUUUGGAAACUACUGCCAGGCAGUAUUUGGUUAUGUGCUAGUGAAAAAUGAGGUAUUUGGAUAUUCGUGGAUAUGUGUAUUUCUUAAAUAUGAUAUGUUAACAUAUAACAGACAACUGUCUGAAAUGAUGGUUGGUUGUCAGAGGGAAAACUUGGAAUUCUUGCAGCAACAUGUUGAAUAAAUGCCAAACAUCUGGCUUGCUUUCCAGAGAUAUCUAAAAACAUAUAUAUAUAUAUAUAUUUUUUUUUUUUUGCAAGGUAGAAUCAAUUUGUAUAGAAUUCCUCUCUAUAAGCAAGUUAAGAUCACCCCUAGUUAGCUUUUACUUACCUGAUUUUAUUGGCCACUUGCAUAUUUAGGGGAAACAGAAAAACAGGACAGCACAUCUCUAAUAAGAGUUCAUUGAGGUUGCAUACUUUUAAACAAGAGCAAGAUCCACUACUUGGCAGUCAUACAUUCCAACCUGGAACAUUCACUCAUGAACAAAAAUAGUUCUACAUAAAAACCUAAAUAUAAAACAGUUGUAUGUAGUUCAACUGUAAGCCACAUCUGUUUAAAAUGUUAGUAAGACAUGUAAAAUAGCAUUCAUUUCACGUUUAUUCAACAGAUGGAACAUUAUUGCUGUGGCUUUAAUGUCCUAGAUUAGAGGGUCUCAAAGUGUAGCCAGUAGACCAGCAGCAUUAUUAUCCUGUGAAAAAUUGUUAGAAAUGCAAAUUCUAGAUCCCACUCCAAACUUAUUGAACCAGAAACUCCAGGGGUUAAGGUCCAGAGAUCUGUGUUUUAACUGCCCCUCCUAAUUAGUGUUCCCAACUGCUUUCUAAUGAGUGCUUAACUUUGAGAAUGAGCACUACCCUAGAUUCAGGUAAACCGAGGUCCAUUCUGGCUCAGUCUCUCACUUUAAUUCUUUGCUUCCCCAUUCCCCUUUUGUUCUUCUAAAUUAAGUUGCACUAAAUCACCUCUAAAAUUUAUUAGAGAUGCAUGUAAUAGAAGAAGAACAUUCAGACAGAGUUGGCUUCAACAUCUCAAUUUGUCCCUCACUAUUAUAUGGCUUUUAAUUAAACAGUAAUAGAAAUGAUUUUUAUUGGGCAUUUACUAGGUGCCAACCCUAUCUUAAGUGUUUUAUCUUUGUCUGAGUUUAUCCUCAAAAAUACUAUGAUAUUGUCCCAUUUUAUAAUUCAUCACUGAAAUUUAGAGGAGUUUUUUAAUUUUUAUUUUAUUUUUGUAGCUGUACCUGUGGCAUAUGGAAGUUCCUAGGAUAGGAGUCGAAUUGGAGUUGAAGCUGAGGACUAUGCCACAGCCAUUGCAACACGGGGUCCAAGCCACAUCUGUAGUCUACGCAGCAGCUUGCAGCUUAUGCCAAUGCUGGAUCCUUAACCCACUGAGCAGGGCCAGGAAUCAAACCCUCAUCUUCACAGAAACUGUGUGUAUAUGUAUAUAUAUAAACUUAUUCCAGAGCUAACUCAGACUGUACUAGUUAGGAGUAAUUCUUCUCUAGAUACAAAACGUCUAUAAUCCUGAAUAACAUGGCAUAAUACAACCAACCUCAUAGAAAAUUAGUCUAAUGGGAGGAGCUGGACAUCUGCUCCUGCAGAUACUCAAAUACUAAUUGUUUUCUUAAUUUUUGCCGUGCUUCUAGCAUAAUAUCCCAUGAUAUUAUAUGAAAUAUGUACAAAUUAAAAAGAUGAUUAAGCAAAAGUGUCACCUCCCGCUGGCUAUUUAUUUUUAAUUUUUUGAAAUAUUUAUUCUACUACACAAAUUCAGGUGUUCUUGAAGAUACAGGAGGGAUCUUAUACCUGCUAAGUCAAAAUAUUGUGGGGGCCAUAUCUAAGUUGGCUGCCAGUGCUCCCUGUCUCCUGAUAGUCUGCCUGUAUGUGAUCAUGCCUUCUCUUCAAGUGUGGGAAUGAAUUUUGACUCAAUUCCAAUACAUAGAAUAUGGCAGAAUUGAUGUGAUAUCAAUUCUUUGAUUAUAGUACAUAGAUUAUAACUCUUAUCUUUCUAUCAGACUCUCUCCAUAGAUGCUCUCUCAUGAUGGUUUUCGAUGGAGCAAGCUGCCAUACUGUUGACUUCCCUGUAUUUCAAAGAACUGAGAAUGGCUUCCAGCUGAAAGCCAAUAUGCAAUGGAGCCCCUCAGUCUAACAGCCUUCAAGUGACUGAAUCCUGCCAACAAUCACUUGGAAGCAGGUUCUUCCCCAGUUGAGCUUUCAAAUGACACCUGAGGCUGACUGACACCUUGAUUGGAGUUUUGUGAGACAUUCUGGAGCAGAAAACCCAGGUAGGCCAUGCCUAGAUUCCUUAUACAUAAAAUGGUGAUGGAGUGCUUGUGCCUUAUUUAUCUUAAAUCUCUAAAUUUGCUAUAUAGCGAUACAUAAUACAAAGAUCAAAUAGGUUCAACUGUAGACCAUCGAGUCCCUAUGUUGUAUGUGCCUCUCUCGAAGUGCUUGAAGUCAGAGUAAAAUUAGAUGAAAAGUUAAGUGGCAUUCUCCAGCACUGAAAUAAAGGCAAUGUUAUCUAGGUAUGGCAGGGAAUGCUUAUAGAAGUAUAGAAGUCUACUGAAAGGACAACCACAGAGCCAGGCAGGUGGUCCCCAAGAGAGAUUAGUGAGUCUUCUCCUGGACUGCGAUUUUUUCACCUGUUCUCAAAGGUCUCAACCAUGUAUCCUCUCCUCCAGAAAGCGGUUCUAGGGAACUCCAUUCUGAAGAGACCCUCUUCUGUGCUCCCACAUAACCCGAUUCUGCUUCUUUGUCUGGCUAUCUUCCCAUCUCCUUUAUUUCAUCCAUUAGACACUGAGUAAUAUCUUGUUGCCUCCUUUCUCAGUGUGCUCUCUUCCUGUUCCUCUCCACCUUCAUUCGUCACAUGAGAUACCAUAUGUAACAUAUUCCCAAUUUGUGAUCACCAUUAUGUGAACUAAU